rnacentral:rRNA from 1 species
CAUAGCGACUAUCGUGGCAUAUCAAUAAGCGGAGGAAAAGAAACUAACAAGGAUUCCCUUAGUAACGGCGAGUGAAGCGGGAAGAGCUCAAAUUUGAAAUCUUCAAGGUUUUACCUUGACGAAUUGUAGUUUAAAGAAGUGUUUUCUGUUGAAGUUUUGGUAAAAGUUCUUUGGAAUAGGACAUCAUAGAGGGUGAGAAUCCCGUAUUUGACCAUUAUUUUCAGCUGUGUGAUACACUUUCAAAGAGUCGGAUUGUUUGGGAGUGCAGUCCAAAAUGGGUGGUAAAUUUCAUCUAAAGCUAAAUAUUGGCGAGAGACCGAUAGCGAACAAGUACCGUGAGGGAAAGAUGAAAAGAACUUUGAAAAGAGAGUUAAACAGUACGAGAAAUUGUCAAAAGGGAAGCGUUUGACACCAGUGUUGUUUUCUCGAAAAUCAAUUAAAAAAGGCUGGAUUUUGUGUUGUAUUGACCUUAAAAGCUUUCUUCACUCUUUUCUUGUCUUUUUUAAUGCACUUUUCGUUUAACAAGUCAACAUCAGUUUCUUUUGUUGUAAAAGGGUCAUUGGAAGGUGGCUUUCUUUUCGGAGAAAGUGUUUAUAGCCUUUGAUCUCUGCAACCGGAGAGACUGAGGUCUGCAGCGUAGACUCUUCGGGGUUAGAUACAUUUGUGCUAAGCUAUAGCUUUUUAUAGACAACUUGUUGACUAUAUUUAGUCUUGUGGCUUACUCGCUUAUGCUAUUUUACCUACGCUUAGGAUGUUGAUAUGCAUGACUGAUAU